AGCUUACAACGGUCGCGGGACCCACAGGGACGCGGCCCGAGUGGCUCUGCUCCGGCGUCCCGUCCGCACGGAUCUCCCCCGGGACGCGGGCGGACCAGGGAGCACUCACCGGCAGUCCUUGAGCCAUAUCGCGAUCUUCUCGUUGGGCACGUUUCCUGGGGGUAGAGAGAGGGGACAGCACGUUACCACCCAGGAGCACUACGACGGCGGAGUCACCCUGGACCCUCCCAAGUAGGAAAAUCUACCACGGCAAAUGCAGCCUAAGCGACACGUCUCAGUGUCCCUUGGCAGGGAAAUCGGAUGGCACCCAGUUGUCUGUGUUGACGCUGGGGGCGCCUCGUUCAGCGCGCGCGUUUGAAGGUCGGAAGUGUCCCCUCUCCCCUCGGCCUACCGUGCCCGAGGCUCUCCCAGAACUCGUGGCAGGCGCCCAGGGCGCACGAGACUCUCCCCAGCCCACCAGCCUCCCCCCGGAGCCCGGCCGGGAGCACCGACCUCUUCCCCCCGCUGCCGGCAGCUGCGCGCCGGGGAGGUCCUCCUCCUCGUCCUCCUCCUCGUCCUGCGUCGUCGCUUCUGUGGACAGAUCCUCCGUCUCCGACGCUUGCCAGGAGCUGCGGCACUUGGCCCAGGCCUUCCUCCUGCGACUCGCCACUUGCCACUCCAGUUCCUCCUCCGCCUCCGCCGACGACGACAGGGGCCGGUCCAUGGCCGCACUGGGGGCUCCGCUACCCCAGCCGGACCCUGCGCGAGACAAGGCGGCGGCAGGGACCCCCGCCCUUGCUGUCAGCGCCCGGCCGGGCAGGGGGCCCCGGGGAGCUGAAGCGGGCGCCGGAGGAGGAGGAGGAGGAGGAGGGGACAGGGAGGGAGGGAGGGAAGGAAGGGGAGGGAAGGGGCGGAGGGCCGGCGCUUCACAUGAAGGCGGCCGGGCGCGCGCGGGAGCGCUAGUGGCCCGAGGGAGCGCGGCUGGGAGCCGAGCGCCCGCCCGGCCCCUGCUCCCCACCCCCUGCCUGACGCGCCCGGAGCAGGCCGGCCGCUGCGCGUCUGCGCGCCUUCCCUCGGCGGCGGCCCACGCCCCCUUCCGGCCGGGGCCGCGCGGGGCGCGGUAGGGCGGGGCGCGCCCGGCGCGACGCGGAGCAGGCCAGCCCCCGACUACUGCCCGCGGAAUGGGCAAGAUUAGUUUGUUAAUAAUCUUUCCUCCUCUCCUCCUCCUCCUCCCUCACCUAAAAAUAGAACGUAAGUGGGGAGGCCAAGUCUCACAAAACAUCCCCCGCGAGAAAACAAGUGUCUGCUUGGGCACCCUGAAACAUACACUUGAAAGAGUCGCCUGAAUAUAGACUCUUUAGUGUCCAAGGAAUUGGGGUAAGGACGGAAAGAGGUGCUUGAUUGGUGUUGCCAAAAUGUAAAAACUGCAAAAGACUAAGCUUCCUGGAGUGCUACUUUCAUACUUAAAGUUAUUUAUCGUGUUUAUGUUAUGAAUGAAAAUGAAUUGUGAAAGGAUAUUUAAUCUGGAAAUUUCACAUUGAAGUUGGACUUUGGUGAGGGAGAAUAGAGGAAACAAUUGGGACAAUGUGGAGAUAGUUGCUUGGAUUUUGGUGAGACAGCAUGAUACAAGAAACAAAUGAUGUCAGGGUUCAAAACUUUUUAAAGCCAGCUUUGGCAUUCCGUUUUGUUAUGUUUAAAUUCUCAUUAGCAAAAAUACUCAAAUUCUAUCCAAAACCAGACACAAUGUGACAGACCUAUCAAGCAGCAUUGUUCCCCUAAAUGUUACAUCUGAACUAUACAUAUAAGUAAGGCUUCCAAUAUUUUAUUGUACUUGGCUAUGCUCUGAAGAACAAGUUAGAACACUUUUUAAAAUCUUAACGUGAUUGAAAAGAAUAUUUUGCGUAGACAAAAUAUUUUAAGGAAGGAAUUAUUUUUCAUUUGAAAUUAAAAUCCAGAGCAUAGUAAAAUUCCUAAUGGAAGCAUUCGAAUUACAAGGUAAUUAAGUGCAUUGUCAUUGAUAGCUACAGGAAACCAUAACUUUUGGAGAAUUUGGAAUGAAGAAUGCUCUGGAGAUGAAAUAGUGCCUAGUUUUUGUCCAGGCAUUUACACAUAAGUCAUAGACUACUAAAAUAGCACACUGAUUUUCCUGCCUUCAUUCUUUCCUAUCUCCUUUCUAGCGCAUUGCUCUAGAUUUACAAUUCCAAGACAUCUUCUAAUGGUUUACUAAUAUCCCCAAGAUCAAAUCCAAAAUCCAGACUAGCUUUCCAGAACCAUCAUAAUAUUCUCCUGAGUCUCAUCUAUGUACUGCCAAAUGUCAGGGGAGUUAGAACAGUGAUAUUAAUAUCUCUAUGGCUUGAAAUUUCACUACUAGAAAAUCUUUUCUUUGAACCUAUAAGACUUUCUCAGCCUUCAAGGGUCCUGUAGUAGGAUGCAGCUAACAGUUUAAUGGCUCUCCAAAAUAGGUCAGAGUCUCGCUGCCUGUGUGGAAGAUGAAAAAGAGAAUGAAUAAAGAAGGUACCUAAGAAGAAGCAUUGAAAGGGCUGGUCAAGUGCCACAAAAUAUGCUGCCUUCAAAGUUUUAUCCAGGGUUCUUACGUAUCCACCCUGUUCCUCUGCUGCUCCCAGCUUCAAUUCUAUCAUAUCUAAGUGCUGUUGCCUACUCUGUCUUUGCUAAUUAAUUCAUUCCUGUUCUUUCUGUCCACUACCUUCAUGACUUUCAAAAUCUAGCUAAGCCAGAACUUUUUGACUCCACCAUUCCACCACUCCUGAUCACACCCCUCCCACAGGGAUCUGAUAUACAACAGCAUGUCUAUGUCAUUUAUUUGGGGACUGGAUUGUAGAGUAAAUAAUAUGACUGGCCCUGGAAGGUAUGUUUGGCUUACUAGCCAGAUUGUAAAUUGUGAGAGAUGAUAGAACAUUCUUCAGUAUUCUUGCACCCCUUACACUUUUAAAUGCUGAUCCCACAAGGGAUAAUGGGUCUUCUUGAGGUAGUUUCUGUUUUCUGUGUUCUUCAAAGAGACACCUAAAUUGAUUAUUUUAAAAUUUGCUUCAUGUUAUUUCUAUAAUGCUUAUAUUUUAUUUAGGUUUGCAGUUGUUUAAAUACACUUUCAGAUGACAACAACAAAGAAUUCUUGUGAAAGGCAAUAAUUAACCAUAGUUUAAAAAAAAAUCAAACAACCAGAGUCAAGUAAUAAGGGGGAAAAAUUACCAGCAGGUAACAAAGUAGAAUAUAUACAUUAUUCAGUUUCCGGUAGCACAAAUGUGUGCUUUCUUCUACAUGGCAUUUUUUAAUGAAAUAUGUUGAGGGUAUAGAAGUAAUAGAGAAGGAAAUCCUUGAAGUAGUAUGCUAUUGCCUUGAAAAGUAAGGUUUUUUCAUUGUAUUCUCAACUUUUACAGAUGUUUUAAAAUGCCCAAGGUAUUUCAUUUAUUCGAUAAUGAAUACUACACAUGAAGAAAGUCUGCAUGUUUGCUUCUUCGAGGAUUUUCUCCCAAACAAGUACUAUCUUGUACACCAACUGCAAAUAUACAUUGCGAAGCUCUACAUAAAGAGUAUUGUCUGGGCCAGGCAUGGUGGCUCACACCUGUAAUCCCAGCACUUUGGGAGGCUGAGGCGGGGCAGAUCACCUGAGGUCAGGAGUUUGAGACCAGCCUGACCAACAUGGAGAAACCCUGUCUCUACUAAAAAUACAAAAUUAGCCAUGCAUGGUGGCGAAUGCCUGUAAUUCCACCAACUUGGGAGGCUAAGGCAGGAGAAUAGCUUGAACCCAGGAGGCAGAGGUUGCGGUGAGCUGAGAUUGUGCCAUUGCACUCCAGCCUGGGCAAAAAGAGUGAAACGCUGUCUCAAAAAAAAAAAAAAAAAAGAGUAUUGUCUGAAUCAAUGAUGUUUGCAAGGUGGAAAAAGAAAGAAAUGUAUAUUAAAUGUGGAUAAUUCCAUCCAGCAUGACAUAGUGGAAGCAACGUGGUCUUUGGUGUUAGACUGAAGUUUGAAAUGUUUCCCUCUUUUUCUAGCUGUAUGGUAUAAGGCAAGACAGCUAAUAUCCCAAGGCCAUGACUUUUCUCAUCUUUGAAAUAGCAAUCAUGAUAACUACCUUCCCAAAUUGAUGUGAAUCUCACAAGAAAUAAUGUAGGUGCUCAGUAUAGCUAUUAGAAUGAUUAUAUUGCAGAAAGCAAAAAAUAAAUCAAUUUCAUAUGGGGGAAUAAUUCUCAUAUUAGCAAAUGGCAUCUAUCAUCAUGCUUAUGCAGCUGUAUUUUAAAAUUGGCAUAAGUUCAGGCAAAGAUAGAAAACGUAUACUUUGGUUAAAUCAGGCAGUUUUAUAUGGGAAAGCAUGAAUCAUAAGGGAAACAUUGUUCUUGGUUUAAUUAGAUAUUUAAAAUUGCAAAACAAGAUUUACUAUUGGGUAGGCUAAGCCAUUUUGGUUGUAGUUAUGGUAUUGUUUCUUUAAUAAUAUUUAUAUGCUCAAAAAUUGUAUUUUGUGCAUCAAAAUCUUAAUUAUUUAGAAUCUGAUUAGAGAGUGGUAGAGUUGCAGUUAUUUCUUCAAAUUCUCAUCUUUUGUUAAGACAAAAGGGGCCUCAGAGGUAUAAGGUUAAGUAGAAUAUCAGGUUAAAUGAACAAAGUAGCAUUUUAUAUUUUGAUAGUAUUGCCUGGAGAAAAAAAUUCUAUAUAAAAUAAGAAUGGAAAACACUGCAUAUUAUACCCCCUCCUCUUCCUCCACCCCAGCCCAGUCACAAUGAAUGUUAAAGACUUGAGACGUCUUCAAAACUUGUUUUUUAAAACUUUAAUUUUUUAAACCCAAUAGUUAUAAAAUUUAUUUCAACAGUAAAUCUUUUUGGCCCCUCAAUGUAUCCAUUAACAUUUCCAGGGAUACCAGUGAAAUAAUUUGCAAUAGCAUAAAAGAGAAUAAAAGAAAAAAUAUUAAUAAAUAAGAGUAAACACUUCAAAAAUUUUCAGAGAUUUAUUUACAAAUCAUGUAAUUGAACUAUGAGGAAUGCUGGUUAGUCUGACUUAGAUUGGGUUAUUGAUAUAUUCCUCUAUUUUUGAGACCAUUAUUAAUUAUUAAAGUAUUUCUGAUUUUAGUAUUUCUGGUUAUUGUAUAUAUGUUAAAGCAAUAGAAUUACAUGUUUAAAGCCUAUAAACCUUUGAUCUUAGAGUUCUUCCAUAUUAGCAAAAAUUCAAGGAUUUUUAGAUUAGUUUCUUUUCCUCAUAAGGAAGCAUUAAUAUGUAGAAUAGUCCGUUAUUUUGAUUUCUCUUAUUUUCCCAAGUACAGAUAAGAAGGAGAAGCAGGUGUUAAUACCACUAGAAUUUUGCCUUGCAAAUUAUUUAUACAGUCUGGGUAAAUUACCAGUUUAUAUACUUUCUGAUUUUGUGCAUGUUAAAAGCUUGUCGUUUUAUCACUCAUUCUCAGAUCACAAUUUAUUCAGUUUGCCACAUAAUGCUAAAUUUACUCUUUUCUCAGUGAAACCUUGUGGCCAGUUUGUUUUCUUUUCAGUGGCUCAAUUCUCUGGUGUUUCUGAGCAACAGGUAAGAAUGGCUCAUCUAUUCUUAACAAUGAAGUGAAGCAAGAUUAUGUAACAGAAUAGACUAUUUGUUCUGUUUCACGAAUUCAUAAAACAACUCAAAGGAGUUUUGAAAUCCUUUUUACUGAACAUAGUUACACAUGAAUUACAAACAUUUUGGCUUUCUAUCUAUGAAGCCUAAUUCUCAAGUUUGGAUCAAUCCUUUUACUUUUUCUUCUCAGCCCUGCCCUAAAAUGUUGCUUUUAAAAGUCUCUGAUAUUUUGAAUCAUAAAAGCUUUUAAAAAGGUAUAUCUGUCCAUAUGAAAUGCACAGUCUAUACCCAUGCCAGAUGAUAUUAAGAAUUUUUCUGCAACACACAACCGAACAGGAGGAUGUCAUUAUUCCCAGUGUUAGCACUGUCCUAUUAUAUAGUUAAUUUCUCUUCCAUAUUUAAGAUUAUAUUCUAGCUCUUUUGUUUAUGUAUAUGAUUACUUUCUCUUUGGAGCCAUUUAGAACUUUAAAAAAA
rnacentral:lncRNA from 1 species